GUACGCUGGCGGCACGCCUAACACAUGCAAGUCGAACGAAGUAGCAAUACUUAGUGGCAGACGGGUGAGUAACAUGUAGGUAUCUGCCCUUUGGCCUGGAAUAACACGAGGAAACUUGUGCUAAUACCGGAUAAGUCUUUACGGAGAAAGCUUUAUGCACCAUUGGAUGAGCCUGCACUUGAUUAGUUUGUUGGUAGGGUAAUGGCCUACCAAGACUGUGAUCAAUAGCUGAUUUGAGAGGAUGAUCAGCCACAUUGGGACUGAGACACGGCCCAAACUCCUACGGGAGGCAGCAGUGGGGAAUCUUGCACAAUGGAGGAAACUCUGAUGCAGCGAUGCCGCGUGAGUGAAGAAGGCCUUUGGGUUGUAAAGCUCUUUCGUCGGGGAAGAAAAUGACUGUACCCGAAUAAGAAGGUCCGGC
rnacentral:rRNA from 1 species